GACGAACGCUGGCGGCGUGCCUAACACAUGCAAGUCGAGCGGUGAAGGUCGGUACUUGUGCCAACCGGAUGAGCAGAGAACGGGUGAGUAACGCGUGGGGAAUCUGCUUUUGUGUGGGGGAAAAUAUUUGGAAACGAAUGCUAAUACCGCAUAAAAACUUUAAACACAAGUUUUAAGUUUGAAAGACGCAAUUGCAUCAUUCAAAGAUGAUCCCGCGGUGUGUUAGUUAGUUGGUGAGGUAAAGGCGCACCAAGGCGUUGAUACAUAGACGACCUGAGAGGGUGGUCGGCCGCCUUGGGACUGUGACACGGCCCAAACGCCCUCGGGAGGCAGCAAUAGGGCAUCGUCGGCAAUGGGCGAAAGUCUGUCCGAACAACGCCGCGUGAGUGUACAGCGUCUUCGGGUCGGGAAUCACUGUUUGUAGGGAAGAACCCGCGUUAGAGUGGAACGCUCCGCGAGUGACGGUAACGACUCAAAAAGCAACGGCUAACUACGUG
rnacentral:rRNA from 1 species